rnacentral:pre_miRNA from 1 species
UAUGUACUCCCUCCGUUCGGAAUUAUUUGUCGUAGAAAUAGAUGUAUCUAGAACUAGUUCUAGAUACAUCCAUUUUUGAGACAAGUAAUUCCGAACGGAGGGAGUACAUG